UGACUUGGAAAUUUUCUCGCUUAAAUUACUAUUGGAUCCAAAUGAGUUUAUACGAUAUUUUUUGCUUCCUAUCUUCUUUGCCUGCAUGUCAACAAUAUUAUAUUUAAGAAACAAUUAAUGGAAAUAACUUGUGUCAAAAAAUUAUGCAGGCUGGAAAAUGGAAACAAGCAUGAAGACACUGAUCGAUCGAUCAUCGACAGUUACCCACCAUAAAAAAUAAAAAUAAAAAAACGAUCAAAUUAUUUUCUACAUAAAAUAAAAGAAAGUUGUUUUAAUAUAGGUAUAGGUAAUUAGAGAGAUCAGAAGAAAUUAAUACUUACGAUUCUCAACUACUAAUACAAACCAUAAAGCACCAUUAAAUUGUUCAAAAUGUUCGGGAAUUGGUCAUUUUUUUGAAAAACAAAAACCGAACGCGAAUAGACUCAAGAUCAUAUAACUUAUAUUUUGAAAUCAAUCAAUUAAAUUAGCGCAACAAAUAAUAAAAAAAAAAAUACAGGAGAACAAAGGCACGUUAAUUAAUUAAUUAAUAGCUUCACAUAAAACGGUAAAAUAAAAUUAUUCACCAACCAGUAAAAUAUCAAACAGCACGGCUUUCAAUACUCGUGAAAAACGCCGUCUAGACUUCUCCUUCCUGUCAAUACCGACGCCCCGGAAAUUUCCUCAUCAGGCAGAGACGUCAAAAUCUCCGUCCUCUCCUUGCCCCCUCCACCUAAGGCCAUGUACGUCGGAACCGGGUCGCCGGAACCAUCGGAAGUUUUAAAUUUG
rnacentral:lncRNA from 1 species